CUUAAGCAUUCAUUCAGAUAUUUACAGCGUUUCACACACACCAAGACCAAGGUACCUUCUAUUCCUUUAGCAAGAAGCCAUGAGUAAAAUGAACUCCAAACUGAUGUUUUUCGCCUUGUUUUGUUUCGCUCUACUCCUAAUAUGUACGAAAGCACAUUUCGUUCUUACAUCUCCUAAAGGAAAGCGCCAUCUAGAAGAGAAACAACGAGAUGUGCCUAGUAUCUGGGAAGAAGGCGAAUUGUUUCCAUCUUCAAAGAAUUAUCCUCCAAAAACGCAACAACAACAGGAAGAAAAAUUAUUUUGGUGGGAAAAAUAACGUUAAAACCGGCAGGGAUUUCGAUAUUGUCGUCCUUCAUCGACAUGGAAUAAAGUUAAAUAAUUAAACCAUCGGUACAACAAAGUACAGAAAGAUUUCUUUACUGCUUUGAAAUUUUAUUAACUGAAAAAGCCUGGAGUUAUAUUUGGUUUCCACUCUUGUAAACAGUUGUUUGCAAUAAAGUUAUAUUUUCAUUGCA